rnacentral:rRNA from 1 species
CAAAACUCAAAAAAUAAGUCUCAGUUCGGAUUGAAGGCUGAAAUUCGCCUUCAUGAAGCCGGAAUUGCUAGUAAUGGCAGGUCAGCAUACUGCCGUGAAUACGUUCCCGGGCCUUGUACACACCGCCCGUCACACCAUGAGAGUUGGGAAUACCCGAAGCCUGUGAGCUAACUUUUAGAGGCAGCAGUCGAAGGUAGAAUCAAUGAUUGGGGUGAAGUCGUAACAAGGUACC